rnacentral:misc_RNA from 1 species
CCAGUCAAGGUAUUGUGGGUAAAAAUGGCGGCUGCAAUUCAAAACACGCGAUAAUUUUAUUAAUUUCGUGAAGCUUUAUCAAUCGACAAUUUUAAAUUUGGCAUUUGGCCAAUUAAGAAUGUAGUUGAUUGGACUUCUCUAUAUGUGACUGAAAUUGAGUUGUUUCUAAUUAACAGUGUUUUCUGCCAUCAACAUGAGUUACGAUAGGAGAAGGUGGAAAGCGGAAGAAUACGAAAAUGUCGUGAUGGCGCCCGGAACUGCCGUUGAGAUGUCGUUAAAUGAGCUCCAGCAGAUGGCUGAUAGGCAGGAACAACAAAUACAAACUCAACAGCAAAUGCUUGUUGCCAAAGAACAAAGACUAAAAUACUUGAGACAACAGGAAUACCUUCAAAGAAAGCACCAAAACGAAGAUACCGAAAGAAGAAAGCAAUUAGAGCGUAUAGAAAUACAAGAACAGAAGUUAAGCAGGAUUCAGGGUUUGAAAGGAGAACAUCUCCAGCGAAUAGCAACAAACGAUAAAUUACGUGAAGAAUUAGAAAGGAUGAAAUCUAUUUUUUCUGCUAAAGAAAAAGAAUUGAUGGCAGCCGUGGCAAAAGUAGAAGAGAUGAGUAAACAGCUUGAACAAAUACGAAGUCAUAACGCUAAUGAAUAUUCAUCGGAAAUUGAAAAACUAAAACGGGAAUUGCAUUUACGGAACAAACUAAAUGAACAAAAUAAUGCUAAAUUAGCCUGCAAACGCAAUGAGCUGUCUACUAAGAAGAACGAAAUGGCUUUUCUAGACCAAAGAAUAGAAGAAAUGCAGGAGAGAUUAAAGAAAAAAAAGGUAGCACAAAAUCAAAGGACGAAAGAGCGAGUGAAAAGUCAAACAAACAUUGCAGCAGUGGAACCUAUUAUGAAAAAGAUUGAAAAUAACACCAAUUUAAUUAAAGGCGAUGAGAAACAUAGUAUUCGUCCUACAAAAGUAAAGUCAUCAUCAACAUCGUCUACAAUAACAAUGUCUAAUCUUAAAACUGACACACCACCUACCGGCCAACAAAGAAUGACAAAAACAAGCGUUUCAUCUCUGCCACUGACCAAUGAAACAGAAAAAAAACAUAACGGGUUUUCACCUAAUUCUUCCGCGUAUGUGCCAAAGCCAUAUGCUGGGAAACUUCCACAAAAUUCGCCACCACAUGCUCUUCAACCGUCUCCAGAUUUUGCAUCGCCUAAAACAUCUACACCUAUAAGCAAUGGUAGAAUUCCAAAACAACCUCCUCCGACUGCUCCUCGACUUAGGGUGAAUCGGGACCGUGAGUUAAUUACUGCAACUAAUCAACCCUCCAAUAGUGAAACUGCUACGACUGGAAAAUUGCUUAGCGACUCAGUCGAACCUCAUGGUAGAGACCCGCCAUCGCCUGCCUCGAGCGGCGCCAGCCAAACUUCAAAUCACUCAAAUGGCCAUGGUAGUCAAACCAGCAAUCAAACAAGCUCGUCUGGUUAUGUUUCCGAGAGUAAAAUUGAAAAAGAUGUAACUUUAACAAAUGCGUUGGAUGUCCUUAAACAAGCACCGAUGACUUCUUCAAUCAGUUCUAAUAGAAAUCGUUUUGCUCCAAGGUCUGUCAUAGCUAAUGCCUAUAUGAACAAGUUGACAGCUUCUACUGCAGCUAAUUACAAACAAAACACAGAACGGUUAUACAGUGAUUUUUAUACCAUGUUAAAGGAGAAAAAGUCAGAAAAUAGUUCCGAAAGUGAAGAGAUUAAUGUCUCUGCUCACCUAAAUGAGGAGCCAGUGGCUUCUGCUAAAUCUGAUAAUGAUACCUCACCCCAAGAACAAUUAGACGGAAAUUAUAAAGCUACUCGUCGAAGAACGUCCUCGGGGACAGUUUCUCCUAGUGAAUGUGAAGAACCUAACGAAGGUGAACCGGAAAUGAUAGUCAGCAACUCAAAUUUGAGACGUAGACGAAGAGGAAAUUUAAAAAGUAUUAGAGGAUUCGGUACAAAGUCUCGUCGUGUGUCUUUUGAUCCUUUAGCACUUCUUCUCGAUGCUUCUUUAGAAGGCGAACUAGAGUUGGUAAUGCGAUCGGCGAAGGAAGUCCCUGACGUGUCAGCUCCAAACGAUGAAGGAAUAACGGCUCUACACAAUGCUAUUUGUGCUGGUCAUUUAGAAAUUGUCGAAUUUCUUGUUAAAUUUGGAGCUAACGUUAAUGCUCCUGAUAGUGACGGUUGGACACCUCUUCAUUGUGCUGCUAGCUGUAACAAUUUACCGAUUGUAAAAUUUCUGGUCGAAAACGGGGCUUGUGUAUUUGCCACAACGGUUAGUGACCAAGAAACAGCAGCUGAUAAAUGUGAACAAGAGGAAGAUAACUUUGACGGUUGCAGUAAAUAUUUAUAUGAUUUACAGGAAAAACUUGGAAUAAUUAAUAACGGUGAGGUUUUUGCUGCUUUUGAUUACGAUGCUCAGCAUGAAGAUGAACUUGAUAUGAAAGAAGACCAAAAACUAAUUGUGAUAAGAAAAGGUGAUGAUCAGGAAAAAGACUGGUGGUGGGUUAAAGAUGGCAAUAAAAAAGGAUAUGUACCUAGGAAUUUAUUAGCUUUACAUUGCCGUCCCGAACCAAAUCGCGAGGCUGGACCUCCUUUUUUAUUAGCGUCUUCUGCCCUGCCUGAAUAUAGGGGCUCACCAACAACUAUAGAUAUUGGUGACGAAGGUUUAUCGAGAUGUUGA